UAAUGUGCAGUUAACAAGUAGCUUUAUUCUCUGAUAGCACAAGUGUGACUCCUCUCACGUCUUAUGAUGGCUCAUUCAAACGGAUCCAUUCAGGUGUUUUAAAGAGUGCGUGGGUCGUGUCUGCAAGAGGCAUGCUUAGAGAAUUAAUUGGAGAGUCGAGAGAGGCUCCUUUUUGUUUCCAUGGUAUCCUCCCAAGGGUGAGAGACCUAUAGCCACCGUGCCAAUCACUCUGUAGGGAGAUCAUAAUGCGUCAGCAGGCUCGCUCGUCAUUUAUCCCACAGGGACAAACACGGCUCAAAUCCCAGACAUGAAUCCAAAGAAGAUUUAAUACCCCCUGUACAUAUUUUCCACCCAGUGGUAGAGGUAAGCCUUUUCCCGCGGGUCCCAAGCACACGCGCUCAAUGCUGCUGGAGGAACCCUCAGCGAUUCUUGCCCUUCGCUCGGACAAACACCCCCACGGACGGCGAGAAACAGUACUGACCAACCGUCGGCUGACUCAGGGACUGUUUCUAAUUGAAACACAACCUCGCUGCGUGAGCAACGCAGAACCAAGACCAAAACACAGGUUUCUGACCCCUAAACGCACAAGCCUCCGGGAACCACUGGCUUGUAUCCAAUCAGAGGUCCCCUGGCACCACUUGCCCGCCCCCUGGCCCUGUCCGGCCACUUCAUUCGCGGCUCACAAAGCAAUCCCGCCGCGCUUUCUUCACAACACCCAAUCAGAGAAUAGGAGGCGGGGACUCCCUGACGCGGCGAGAGCAGCGGUACUCAGACAGGCGAGCCUCGGGAUCUUUCGGGUUCUUUCGCUUUCCCUCCAGGGUAAAGUUAUGUUCAGUCUUCCAUCAACACGUUUAUUUUUCCUUCCGACGCGGCGCGCGUGCGCAGUGCCUCCCAGCCCAGGCUGUUCCUGAAAUGUAAGCCUGUUGAGACUCAGGGAGGGAAGCUGAUCGUCCAUCCUACAGGUCAGUCAACAAUUUGACUCAGCAGUUUACCUUCGGGGCGUUAUUCUACUGCAGAUCCAUUUGUGCCACGAGGCUGGACAUCCAUCUGUGUCACGGGGCUGCUUCAAGGAAGCUCUUGACCUUUUAACUAUAUAUUGUUCAUUAUAAUACAGUGAGAAUUGGCCCCAAAAUGAUGGCUAUUGUGGAAGUGCUCUCCAAGAGUUUAAGAAAUAACCUGUGUGCAAGGCACAGAAGUUCUUUUGCUCAGAAAUAAGCACUAAGGAAACCGGGAACGUUAAAUACACAGGAAUGUCUCUUCAGUGAGAGAGAUGUGUAACUGUCUUCUGCCCAGAGGGCUGGGAGUGGAUGUGGUUGGUAGCCUGUGACCUGAGACUGAUAGGCUGAGACCUCACCAGUUCCUCCCCAGAUCCUUUUCUGAGCAUGGUUUUUCUCAGUCUGUAGAAACUAUCUUGGUGGAAGAUGUCACAUAUACAAACUCUUUACAAAGAGUUUCAGUGCAGUCAUGCCUUAAGCUUUGCUGGGCACAGGCAAUUGGUUAAUUAUCACCAGGAAAGUUUUCACCAAAUAAACUACUUGGGGUCAGACUCACCAAGUUUGGACCAACUUUGGCUACUUAACUGUGUUGAACUGAACAACCUUCUUGGCUCCUCCAGAACGUUACUCUGCUGACCUUAGUGACCUCAGACACUUCCCCAACCCCAAACUUGUACCGAGACAAGACAAACCAGUCAACUCUGCUUCUUACUUCUUAGGCGUCAGAUGCCAUUCACAAGCAAACGGAGGAGCUACACACUAGUGCAAUCUAUUUGCUGUAUGACAUUGUAUUAGUCAGGGUUCUAUAGGGUAGCAACUUAUAGAAUGAAUAUAUAUAUAACAUUAAUAGACUAUUAUAUAUAAUAUAAAUAUUUCUGUAUAUAAGUAAUUGUAUAAAUAUAUAUUAAUAUAGAAUAUAUAAUAAAGACCCAAGGUCUGGGCUCGAAGUGAAUCUUCCUACUUAAGAUUGUGCAAAAGUCCCUCA